ACGAACGUUGGCGGCGUGGAUUAGGCAUGCAAGUCGAACGAAUGUCAGUUUUGUAGCAAUACAGAGCUGGCGGAAGUGGCGAAAGGGGCAGUUAUGCAUGGAUAACCUACCUUGGGGAUGGGGAUAGCCGUUCUAACGAGCGGGUAAUACCCAGAGAUUCAGCGGGAAGGCAUCUUUCUGCUGGGAAAUGAAUUUCGCCUCGAGAGGGGUCCAUGUGCUAUUAGCUAGUUGGCGGGGUAACGGCCCACCAAGGCUAAGAUGGCUAGCGGGUGUGAGAGCACGACCCGCGCCACUGGCACUGAGACACUGGCCAGACACCUACGGGUGGCUGCAGUCGAGGAUCUUCGUCAAUGGGCGCAAGCCUGAACGAGCGACGCCGCGUGCGCGAUGAAGGCCUUCGGGUUGUAACCACUGUCA
rnacentral:rRNA from 1 species